UCAUGAUAAAUGAAAAAAAAAUUAUAUUAUUGUAUCCAAAUCUAAUUAAUAAAUAAAAAAAUAUUAAAUAAAAUGAACAGCCACUCAUACUUACACACAGAAACAUUGAUGAAUUUCCAACCACCUACCUGGCCGACACAAUAUUAUACUACUAUUUCAGUGAACACCAUAACUGCUUAGAGAGGCCUCAAGCACCCUUUCCCCUCAUUUCCGGGCUUCUGCCUGAAGCUCUCCUAUGCUCUGCUCUCCAUGGCUCAAUUAAUUGGAAGCUUCCUGUGCAGGUUAGGUAUUCAUGCUCUUCACAUCUUGUACAUGUAUGGAAUCUAUCCUCGUUGUUAGUACGGUAUUGUGCUUAAAGCCUUAAACCUAAUCCUAUUCGCUCUUUUUGACAAUUACCUUAGCUACUGGAUUAAGUCAUUGCUAAUUUGCUUGCUACUAAUUCAAUUUCUAUUUUUAAUUUGCUUGAGAGAAUGAUUGGAAAUUUGGAAUGGAAUAUUAGGUUCAUUUCAUUGCGUAGUACGGGUUAUAUACAAAUAAAACAUAAAAAAGGACACAGGAAAAGCUAUACAAAUUGCUGAAGUUGAGGGUGCUAAAUAAUAAAAUUGAGGUGAUGGCGGUGAAAGUGGAGAUGAAGAGUAUGAACAAGUACUUGUGGUUGAUGAUAGCACUCAAGCUAUCCAUGACUUUGAGGAAAGCAAAACAGAGGAACUUAACUUUAUAAGUUUAUAUUAAAUGGUCGGUAAACAUUUAGAGACUAGCUAGGGUAGAUAUUAUUUUUUUGCUUCAAUAGAUAUGAUUUUUACUUAGCAGUGGGGGCUUAUGGUGGUGUAUGUUCACUCUUUGAAUUUUCCAUUUCGGUAUUAAUUAGUAGACGGAUAUGGAUUUGAUUUCGUUUCUUCAAGAAGAUAUUGAACUUAACUAUGUAAUUACUUCAGAAUUUUUAAGCAUUUGCUGUACAUGCUCAGUGUAUACUUUGAUAUUUAAGAAUUUGAUCAUAUACAUCAGUAUGACUUUCUUUUUA